ACUUAUACAUUUGGCCCUGUCAGUCUUUUCUGUUGUUUCCUAUCCCAGCGGGAAAAAUGUUAUUUGCUUGACUCUGAUUACUAGGGAGGGGCUACCUCUUUUUCUGGAGCUACUGAACUUUUCUACUUCUUUCGAGAAUUGUCUCUUCCAUUCUUCCACUCCCAGGAUAACUCCUCCAUCAGUCGUCCCUCCUCUAGCCUCCAUUUCCUCUGCAAUCUGGUUCUUAGCUGUUGUAGAGCAGGGUGGCCUUGGCAGCAGUUGUGAAACAACAACAAAAAAAGACCCUGGAACAAGAGUGAGAUUUCUGAAUGCAAUUUUUACUUUUUAUUUUUCGUACUUCUAUAUCCUUUUUAAAAAGAGUCCUCAUGGUGGUGUUACCAGGAAGCUGUGCUGCCUGAAGAAUCAUCAAUUAAUCGUCAGGUACACAUUGUGAACCUGAGUUUCCUCAUCUGAAAGAAGGGAAUAAUAGCAUAUGCUCAUAGAAUUGAGAUCUAUUGAAAAUAAAAAUAAGAGUUAAUUUUUCAUCUGUACAAUUAGAAAAGACAAAUAUUGAUUAUAUUCAGAGUUGAUGAGCAUAUGGUAAAACAAAUAUUCACAUGUACUGUGAGACUAUUAAGUAGUACAACAUUUUUGGAAGUCAUUUUGGCAAUAUCAAACUUUAGAAGAUAUGUGCUUUUGGACACAUCAAUUCCUCUUCUAGAGAUUUAUCAUACAUUAAUACUCCUAUGCCAAAUAUGGUCAUUGUAGUAGUUGUGGCAAUAGUGUUUUUUUUAAAGAGCCAAAAACUUAUAUGUUUCUAAAAGGAAAUUGGUUUAAGAAAAGUUUGAUCAUUCAUAUAGAGCCACAUUAUACAGUGAUGAAAAAAUGAUGUGGAGUUACAUUUACUCACAUGAAAAAAAUUGUUCAAUGUAUAUUGUUAAACAAAAAAAGGCAAAUUGAAAGUUAAUUUUAUAUGUGGUAUUACAUUUUUGUAACAGUAUACAUAUUUGUGUAUUUAAAAUAUGAGUAUACAAUUAAAUUACAUGAUAACAUGAUAAGUGAAGUCCAGAAAUUCAUUCUAUAAAAUUCCAGGUUAUGUUACUGAGAGAUGGAUGGAUGGAAUGACUGAUGUGAGUCUAUUUGGCUAGCUGGCUACACAACCCAAAUUCAUCAAGGACUCAGCUGUGAUUUGUUGCCACAAACAAUUCUUCACUGAGCACUUGGACUUAAAUAUCAUCCAUCCAUUUUACUCUCUCCCCACCUGCUAUCACCAAUCAUGUUAUAUCCAAACUCAAGUUGUUUCAGGGUCUUACUGUAUUUUUAUAUCAUUAGAAAUGCAGAUGAAUAUAUCCUGAACAUCAUAGGAUAUACUUGAGAAUGUGUAUUUCAUAUAAAGAGAACUUUUAUUUUCUAAGUGUUGUAUUUAUAUAUUUAAAUUACUAAUAAGUUACACAAAUUAAUUCAAGAUGGAUUAAAGACUUAAAUGUUAGACCUAAAACCAUAAAAACCCUAGAAGAAAACCUAGGCAAUACCAUUCAGGACAUAGGCAUGGACAGGGACUUCAUGACUAAAACACCAAAAGCAAUGGCAACAAAAGCCAAAAUAGACAAAUGGGAUCUAAUUAAACUAAAGAGUUUCUGCACAGCAAAAGAAACUUCCAUCAGAGUAAACAGGUAACCUACAGAAUGGGAGAAAAUUUUUGCAGUCUACCCAUCUGACAAAGGGCUAAUAUCCAGAAUCUACAAAGAACUUAAACAAAUUUACAAGAAAAAAACCACCCCAUCAAAAAGUGGGCAAAGGAUAUGAACAGACGCUUCUCAAAAGAAGACAUUUAUGCAGCCAACAGACACAUGAAAAAAUGCUCAUCAUCACUGGUCAUCAGAGAAAUGCAAAUCAAAACCACAAUGAGAUACCAUCUCACGCCAGUUAGAAUGGUGAUCAAUAAAAAGUCAGGAAACAACAUGCUGGAGAGGAUGUGGAGAAACAGGAAUGCUUUUAUACUGUUGGUGGGAGUGUAAAUUAGUUCAACUAUUGUGGAAGACAGUGUGGCGAUUCCUCAAGUAUCUAGAACUAGAAAUACCAUUUGACCCAGUGAUUCCAUUACUGGGUAUAUAACCAAAGGAUUAGAAAUCAUGCUGCUAUAAAGACAUAUGCACACGUAUGUUUAUUGUGGCACUAUUCACAAUAGCAAAGACUUGGAACCAACCAAAAUGUCCAUCAAUGAUAGACUGGAUUUAGAAAAUGUGGCACAUAUACACCACGGAAUACUAUGCAGCCAUAAAAAAAGGAUGAGUUCAUGUCCUUUGCAGGGACAUGG
rnacentral:lncRNA from 1 species